AUAUUCUAUUAUGCCCCUCUCUCUCUCUCUCUCUCUCUCUUCAUUAUCGAUCUAUUUCCCCAAAUCUCGGGUUCCUUCACCGAGGGUGAGACCUCUCACUCCACCGCCUCCCCCAUCUUCACCGCUCUGAUGGACCGCCUCCGUCUGCCUCCUUAUCAUCCACCACGACAGCACCGCAGCUCCUUCAUCCUCUAGGGCGGCAACCUCAAUCUUCCUAGUCGGCGGAGGAAGAGGCGGCGAUGUUUUGCGGUGGGUCAACGAGAUGUAUGGAUUGAUUUCGUGAUCCUCGUCGGCCUUGUUGGUGGUGGUGUACUGGUCCUGCACUUUUUCGUGAACAUAGUAGUGUUUUACGUUUCAAAUAGUGGAUUUUCGAAUAUUGAAUUUACGUAUUUUUUUGUUAUUUUUUCAGUUGUGUUAGUAGUGGAUUACAUAUGUUUUUAGUAUAUUUCGAUAAGUUUGUUGUGGGUUAUAUUAAUAUUAAAGUGGAUUACGUUAGUUUUACGGUGAAUUUUACGGUAAUUUGACAGUGGUUUUCG